CUUCUCCAAGUUCAUUUCCUCGUUUGUAGCAACAGAUAACAAUACACAUUCCACCUGUCCUGCCUAUAUAUAUUGAGAGAUUGUAAUUCAUGUUACCGUUCCUUUCAUUCACGAUUUUGUAAGGUUCAGAAUAAUGCCCUGCUUCAAGUUCAAAUCGCCUUUUGGGAUACGAGGUUCGUUCUCGAGUAAGGGAGAGGUGGAAAACGACGAAAAGAAUGUGAGGAUAGCUUGGUGAACAAGGAAACAUAAUAAGGUGGUGAAGAUCAAGGCAAGUUCUAUGGAAAGAAUAGUAGCACAGCUUGAUGUUGCAGCAAAAGGGGUGUACAUUUGACCAAUGAUUUUAAUACCAUGAGCCGACUUGUAAUGAGGUUGUACGAUGAAAUUGAGCACAGCAAAGCCAUGGCAGACAUGUGUGUUAGAAAUAAAAAGACAGGGGUUUUGAAAGAGGUAGUG